rnacentral:antisense_RNA from 16 species
GGGAGCACGACAUUGCUCACAUUGCUUCCAGUAAUUUCAGCCAGCUUGUGCGCUGGCUUUUUUUG